rnacentral:rRNA from 1 species
GACGAACGCUGGCGGCGUGCCUAAUACAUGCAAGUCGAGCGAGUCUGCCUUGAAGAUCGGAGUGCUUGCACCCUGUGAAACAAGAUACAGGCUAGCGGCGGACGGGUGAGUAACACGUGGGUAACCUGCCCAAGAGAUCGGGAUAACACCUGGAAACAGAUGCUAAUACCGGAUAACAACAGAUGAUGCCUAUCAACUGUUUAAAAGAUGGUUCUGCUAUCACUCUUGGAUGGACCUGCGGUGCAUUAGCUAGUUGGUAGGGUAACGGCCUACCAAGGCGAUGAUGCAUAGCCGAGUUGGGAGACUGAUCGGCCACAUUGGGACUGAGACACGGCCCAAACUCCUACGGGAGGCAGCAGUAGGGAAUCUUACACAAUGGACGCAAGUCUGAUGGAGCAACGCCGCGUGAGUGAAGAAGGGUUUCGGCUCGUAAAGCUCUGUUGUUGGUGAAGAAGGACAGGGGUAGUAACUGACCUUUGUUUGACGGUAAUCAAUUAGAAAGUCACGGCUAACUACGUG